UCACGCCCGGUCGUACUCAU
rnacentral:snRNA from 1 species